CGACUUUUCACCUGCGGUUCUGUCAGUGCUGCUCGCCGCUGCUGACAGGUAUUUCUCAUCUGAAUCUUGCAUCGGUUGAGCUGGAUGCCCUAUGGUUUGCAUUCAGGGCAUUUAACAUCUGGACUGCAGAAGCCCACGCAUAGCAGAAUCCUGUUUUGCGGACUUCAGCUGAGCAUUCAACAUCCCUGGUUCCCUGAACUACUGCUGAACUGACAAACAGGAAACAGUCACUUGAACCUGGACUGUCUUGACCCUGAUUUUGGAUUUGCCCAUAAUAAACCUUGCUUGUCUCCGCACGUGCGUCCACCUCAACAUCACUCCCCAUCAUUACAAAUGGCUUACAUCUCAGUGAUUGAAUUAUUCAGGAAGUUUUGUAACUGGUGCAGGUCCGAUAAUAGUAUAAAUAAUAUUUGUUGUUUUAAGGUGAUGUUAACCCUUCUAUACAUACACACACACAGCCACUUCUCCCUCAGGGUCGCGGGAGGUGCUAGAGCCUAUCCCAGUGGUCAUCGGGCAGAAGGCAGAACCCCUUCUAUAAAAUACUAUGUUAAUUAUGUUAAUUUUUGGCCCAGUAUGACCAAUAAAACAUUGUCACACAUGGAUUAUUUAGAUACUACAAAUAAGCUUCGAAUGAGAGAAAUAAAUAAUGUUAUUGUCUGUUUUCUGUUACAGUGUAAAUUCCCCUUUGUGCAUUCAGUCAUAUCUUUGCGUUCAAGAUAUAUGUUGUACAGAAAUAAUCAAAUGUAAUCAAAUCAAAUGAUGCUGAAAAGCGAAUCUUAAUCGCCUUAAAAUUGUGGUGAGGUCAAAGAUUUACACCUCUACACUACUUUCUCUGGAAAAUAGAGGUGUUGUUAUGAAGGUGUAUAGAGAGGAGGACUCAUAUUUUGAGUGCUAUUAAUACGCUGGAUAUCAACACCAUGAAACAGGUUAAAACCUUAUUGACCUCCACAAGCUAGGGAUGACAUGAAAAAAAUAUCAGUGACUAAAUUUACCACGUCAUUUUAGCACUGAAAUUAUAUUGAUACGCUUUUAUUAGAAUUGUUUACAUUUUUUGUAACACCAAAAAUCUAUCACACUUAAAAAUAAUGGUUUGUCAAGGGUUCUUUAGUACAGAACCAUGAACAUUCAGAGAACGCUUUGCAGGAUUCAACUGUUCUUUGCAUUGUGAAAAGAUUCUUCAGACUGAUGGAGAAUUUGUUGAAUAUGGUUCUAUGUAGAACCUUUUUGAGAAGGGUUCUAUAUAGCACCAAACAAGUUCUUCUAUUAUUCUAUUAUUACAUACUUGACAUCGUCACAAUAAAAGAACCCCUUUUGAUGUUAUGUAGAACUAUUCUCUUUACUAAGAAUAAUUUAGGAAUAUUAUUUUAAGUAUGCAUUACACACACACACACACACACACACACACACACAAGCACAUCUUCUAAUCCGAUUCUCCCUAAGGGUCCCGGGGGGUGCUGGAGCCUAUCCCAGCCAUCUAUUAUUACGAUUUAAAUGAAUAUAAAAUUAUCAUCAGUGUUACUACUUUUUAUUUGACUUUUUCUUAGUAGUUGCAUGCUUUGCAGGCAGACUGUAGGCUAUUAGGCUGUUUACACCCGCUGUAUCUGUUUUAAAAGAUGUUAAUAACACAUGAUCAUUGACAUUUUAAAUUUUAAAGGGUUAUCAUUCGUCCACCCACUGGCUAGCAGGCUCAUGUGCAACUUCUUUGCAGGGCAUCAUAGCUCAGGUACAGUAAACCAGAUACCCAAGGUACUGUCCUGCUCUACCACACGUUCCACGUCUCCUGUACACUCAGGAAUAGAUCAGAAAAACUGUAUUUUUAAAAUGCGUGUGGAAUUUUAAUAUCAAACUACAGGUGACACAUUAGAGUCAUGAUUUUAUUGCUAAGAGUGGUGUAGAUUGCGAAUUGUCGUAAAUUGUUGAACAUAUUCUGCCUAUACAGCACAGGUAAAAACAUUUUGGUUUUGGACAAACUCAGUUUCUUGAGUACAAAUAUUUAGUAUAAAGCCAAAAAAGUCAAAAAAGUGAGAAAAAGGAAAAAAGAAUAGAAAUGGAAAUUCUUCACAUUUGUACUGAACAAAAAUGAACAUAGACGAUUAUACACUGUGAUCUAGUGGUAAGCCAGUCCAGAGGAUUCUGCAAGUGUAAUAUACUGUCAUAUGUAAAAUUUGGGUGCCCCUGUUGUGUUGAUUUUCUAAGGGAAAUUAAGUGAACACAUCCUCUACAGAGAAACAUACAUAUAUGCUGUUUUCUUUUUGCCAGUUUGUUCAGCAUGCUUCCUUUAGCUUCUACACUUGGUAUCAGUGUAUUUAUUCGAGUUAUAUAAAACCACUUAAACUGCUUGUUAUCGCAUGAAGAUUAUUUUUUGUUUUUUACAGUAUAGCAUAUGCUGCACAUUUUUUUAAUAUACAUUCAUUGGUCACCAUUUAGGUGGUUGUAGUUCAUGCAGAGAGUAAAGUAUACACUUAUUUUUGAUUAAAUUAUGUGAUUCAGUGUCUGAACUCUGCAUGCAAUAAAGGUCCUGGUUUAAGAGUUUCUGGAGAAGAACUUCACCAGACCUGUAGUGCCAUCUAGGGGAAAAUACAUUUAUGACAUAAAAAUAUUUUUUCUGCUUUUUGUUCUCCAUUUGCAAAUUUCAUUGUAUGUGUACAAGCCCAGUCAAAAUGAGCAGGCUAUAUUUCUCUUCUAUGGUGGUUUAUUGUGCUUGUAGUCUUUGAUAUGUAUUUAAUUCCGUCUAAUUCUGUUUGUUAUAUAUGUUCUGGUUUAUAUCAAAGACCUUUUGUCUAUUAAGGUGAACUGGUCAUUUACAGGAUAACAGGAUUAACCCUUGCAUAUUUACUAUUGCUCUGGUCAGAUGGGAAGCUUUAUUUGUCUUGAGAGAGAGAGAGAGUGAGAGAGAGAGAGAGAGAGAGAG